GACGAACGCUGGCGGCGUGCUUAACACAUGCAAGUCGAACGGAAAGGCCCUGCUUGCAGGGUACUCGAGUGGCGAACGGGUGAGUAACACGUGGGUGAUCUGCCCUGCACUUCGGGAUAAGCCUGGGAAACUGGGUCUAAUACCGGAUAGGAGCCAUUUUUAGUGUGAUGGUUGGAAAGUUUUUUCGGUGUAGGAUGAGCUCGCGGCCUAUCAGCUUGUUGGUGGGGUAAUGGCCUACCAAGGCGGCGACGGGUAGCCGGCCUGAGAGGGUGGACGGCCACAUUGGGGCUGAGAUACGGCCCAGACUCCUACGGGAGGCAGCAGUGGGGAAUAUUGCACAAUGGGCGCAAGCCUGAUGCAGCGACGCCGCGUGGGGGAUGACGGCCUUCGGGUUGUAAACUCCUUUCGCUAGGGACGAAGCUUUUUGUGACGGUACCUAGAGAAGAAGCACCGGCUAACUACGUG
rnacentral:rRNA from 1 species